rnacentral:rRNA from 1 species
GAUGAACGCUGACAGAAUGCUUAACACAUGCAAGUCAACUUGAAUUUGGGUUUUUUAACUUAGAUUUGGGUGGCGGACGGGUGAGUAACGCGUAAAGAACUUGCCUCACAGCUAGGGACAACAUUUGGAAACGAAUGCUAAUACCUGAUAUUAUGAUUAUAAGGCAUCUUAGAAUUAUGAAAGCUAUAUGCACUGUGAGAGAGCUUUGCGUCCCAUUAGCUAGUUGGAGAGGUAACGGCUCACCAAGGCGAUGAUGGGUAGCCGGCCUGAGAGGGUGAACGGCCACAAGGGGACUGAGACACGGCCCUUACUCCUACGGGAGGCAGCAGUGGGGAAUAUUGGACAAUGGACCAAGAGUCUGAUCCAGCAAUUCUGUGUGCACGAUGACGUUUUUCGGAAUGUAAAGUGCUUUCAGUUGGGAAGAAAAAAAUGACGGUACCAACAGAAGAAGUGACGGCUAAAUACGUGCCAGCAGCCGCGGUAAUACGUAUGUCACAAGCGUUAUCCGGAUUUAUUGGGCGUAAAGCGCGUCUAGGGUCGUUAUGUACGUCUGAUGUGAAAAAUGCAGGGCUCAACUCUGUAUUGUGUUGGAAAUAGUAUAAUGAGAAGAAUGGAGAGGUACGC